CCUACGGGAGGCAGCAGUGAGGAAUAUUGGUCAAUGGACGCAAGUCUGAACCAGCCAUGCCGCGUGCAGGAAGACGGCUCUAUGAGUUGUAAACUGCUUUUGUACGAGGGUAAACGCAGAUACGCGUAUCUGUCUGAAAGUAUCGUACGAAUAAGGAUCGGCUAACUCCGUGCCAGCAGCCGCGGUAAUACGGAGGAUUCAAGCGUUAUCCGGAUUUAUUGGGUUUAAAGGGUGCGUAGGCGGUCGGAUAAGUUAGAGGUGAAAUCCCGAGGCUCAACUUCGGAAUUGCCUCUGAUACUGUUCGGCUAGAGAGGAGUUGCGGUAGGCGGAAUGUACGGUGUAGCGGUGAAAUGCUUAGAGAUCAUACAGAACACCGAUUGCGAAGGCAGCUUACCAGGCUACUUCUGACGUUGAGGCACGAAAGCGUGGGGAGCGAACAGGAUUAGAUACCCGGGUAGUC
rnacentral:rRNA from 1 species